CAACCACAAGCCCUUACCUGAAGUAAAGGUAUGCCAUUAGGAUGGUCUGCCAUUGAGGAAAGUAAUUUCACGCUAAUUUCCCGGCAAUAAACAACAGGAAAAGAUGAUUUAGCCUGCUAAUGCUAUCUGAUGUAGGCGACUGCCUUCCUUUAGCCAAUGCCUCCGAAACUAUAGUCUACAGGGGGUUAUAUUUUUAGAAACACCUUUGUGCCUUCUUCGCUAAUGAAUACAAGUAAGGAAUUUGUUCGAGAGGCUUUCCAUGUACAAUUUACAGCUUUAGAAUCCAGUGUGUUGCCAAAGCAAACAUGGAAGUGGCAGUAUGAAUGCAGAAUAACAUUUCAAGUUAAUGUCAGACAAAUUCCAGUCCUGGCCAGAAUUCGGUGAGCAAGGUGUCCCCACACCUACGCUAUUAUCCGUGGAUAGGAUUCGUCCAUUUAUGUGGUGAGUGGGACCUGCCUGGUCCCCUCCAUGGAAUGGGGGCAAAUUAACACCCAGAGCGACCAUGGACGACAUGUGGACCAUUCUGUGAGAUCAGACAGUCCCAAGAGAUCUGAGCAAGUUUUAACUUCAAUCACCCACAAAAUAGUUUGUUGUUAAUGCCAGGUGGAGGGAAACAUACUCAACUGUUUUUUUCCCCAGCUUUUUUGUUUUUUGCUUUUGCUCAAAUAUUGGUGUAGUCGUUUGUUUUCAUUCACAGUUUCAGGUUUUUCUAAAAUUUUUGCAUUUCCUUCUGAAAGUGCACCAAAUUACACAUAACAGUCAGUAAAAUGAACUCCUUUCCUGUUUCAAAAUAAAUGAGGAUUUACUCCUUCCUAUUAAUUGUAAUAUC